AGCCUGUGAUGCAAAAGGACCCAUGAAACUGAAUUACACUGAAUUAAUUCCAAACAAAUCACCAUCUUUCGGGCUGAGGUU
rnacentral:snoRNA from 10 species